UACGUAGGGUGCAAGCGUUGCUCGGAAUUACUGGGCGUAAAGCGCACGUAGGCGGCUUUCUAAGUCGGGGGUGAAAUCCUGGAGCUCAACUCCAGAACUGCCUUCGAUACUGGAGAGCUCGAGUCCGGGAGAGGUGAGUGGAACUGCGAGUGUAGAGGUGAAAUUCGUAGAUAUUCGCAAGAACACCAGUGGCGAAGGCGGCUCACUGGCCCGGUACUGACGCUGAGGAGCGAAAGCGUGGGGAGCAACAGGAUUAAGAA
rnacentral:rRNA from 1 species